rnacentral:rRNA from 1 species
GUCUACGGCCAUGCCACCCUCAAUGGGCCCGAUCUCAUCUGAUCUCGGAAGCUGAGCAGGGUUGGGCUUGGUUAGUAUUUGGAUGGGAGACCACUUAGGAAUACCAGGUGCUGUAGGCG